rnacentral:rRNA from 1 species
UAGGGAAUCUUCGGCAAUGGGCGAAAGCCUGACCGAGCAACGCCGCGUGAGCGAUGAAGGCCUUCGGGUCGUAAAGCUCUGUUGUUAGAGAAGAACAAGUACGAGAGUAACUGCUCGUACCUUGACGGUACCUAACCAGAAAGCCACGGCUAACUACGUGCCAGCAGCCGCGGUAAUACGUAGGUGGCAAGCGUUAUCCGGAAUUAUUGGGCGUAAAGCGCGCGCAGGCGGUCUCUUAAGUCUGAUGUGAAAGCCCACGGCUCAACCGUGGAGGGUCAUUGGAAACUGGGAGACUUGAGUGCAGGAGAGAAAAAGUGGAAUUCCACGUGUAGCGGUGAAAUGCGUAGAGAUGUGGAGGAACACCAGUGGCGAAGGCGGCUUUUUGGCCUGUAACUGACGCUGAGGCGCGAAAGCGUGGGAGCAAACAGGAUUAGAUACCCUGGUAGUCCACGCCGUAAACGAUGAGUGCUAGGUG